rnacentral:tRNA from 1 species
GCUCCAAUAGCUCAGUUGAACAGAGCGGCUUCCUCCUAAGAAGCAGGUCCCCAGUUUGAGUCUGGGUUGGAGCA